rnacentral:rRNA from 1 species
UACGUAGGGGGCUAGCGUUGUCCGGAAUCAUUGGGCGUAAAGAGCGUGUAGGCGGCCCGGUAAGUCCGCUGUGAAAGUCGGGGGCUCAACCCUCGGAUGCCGGUGGAUACUGUCGGGCUCGAGUACGGAAGAGGCGAGUGGAAUUCCUGGUGUAGCGGUGGAAUGCGCAGAUAUCAGGAGGAACACCCAUAGCGAAGGCAGCUUGCUGGGACGUUACUGACGCUAAGGCGCGAAAGCGUGGGGAGCGAACAGG